UUUGGUAGAGGCGCGAGAUUCAUCAGUAACCGGAAAGCCACAGCGUGGGAAGCUGCUUUUUGGAGAAAGGGGAGAUCGCCGAAGAGAUGGGAUGACCCGCAUCCUUUCUCUGGUUUACGGUAGAAGAUAUCGUAGACUGUCACUAAUCGUGGAGCGCUAUCAGA
rnacentral:ncRNA from 1 species